UUUAUGGAGAGUUUGAUCCUGGCUCAGGAUGAACGCUGGCGGCGUGCCUAAUACAUGCAAGUCGAGCGAUCGGACGAGAAGCUUUCUUCUCUG
rnacentral:rRNA from 1 species